rnacentral:lncRNA from 1 species
AUUUUUCAGGACUUGAUGCCUGCUCCACUGGAGAGAACCUGAGGUUGGAAACGGAGUGAGUGGAAUGGUACCACAGCACAGAGGGAGCCAACAGCAUCAGACUUGUCCUUGACAGGCAUGCCUGGCUUCAGAUCUGCCAUGAAGAGCCAGGACGUGGCAGGAUCCAGGAUGCUCUGGUCUCAUCCUUAGCCCAGCUUUGAACACACUGCUUGGACAGGCUUCUCCUGCCUAAGAUUUGACAACUGUUCAGUCAGGGACAAGACUGAGCAAACACAUCAGAGGCAGGAGGAUUGCUUCCAGCUGCUGAGACCAGGCAGGCCUCCAGGACACGCACUGUCUUCUGCCAUUCACCCCCAUCGAUGAAGAACGACCUCCCAAGACUUCAAAGGACUCUGGAACUAAGCUGAUAACAGAGCAACUGGAGAGCCCCUCCCCAGCUAUGUUCCUUGGAGUACUUCAGCAUUGACUGUGUGUAGGAAUUAGGAUCUCUGUUGUGCCCCCUCCUCAGGGUGUGUGUGUGCACUUGCACACACACAGAUACACAACUACUAUUGUGCAUAUGUGGAGGUCAGAGGACAACAUGGUAUCAAAACUGGCUUUCCAGCUGUCUCUCUUGUUUGUUCUUUUCGGCUAUGUACCCAAGGCUAGUCAGCCUGCAAGAGCCAGCCAUUCUUCCCUCUUUGCCUCCCGUCCUAGCAGAUGGUGCUCAGAUUACAGCCACUGAUGCUACUGUGUCCAACCUUUACCUAGGUUCAGGGGAUCUAAACUCAGGUUGUAAAGCCUGACACUGUAUUAUUUAUGGUUGAAUACAAUUCCAUUGUGUCUAUGUAUCACACUUCCACUGUCUGGUUGAUGGAUACUGCAACACGGUGCAGCAACCAGCUCGGGUGUUUCUGUGAUGUUCUCAGCUUCGCCUGGGUGCUCUCCCAGGGCAGUUCUAGUUUCAGAGGACCUCUUCCAGAGGACCUGAGUUCAAUUCUCAGCAACCACAUGGUGGCUCAUGACCAUCUGUAAUGGCUUUCAGGAGUACAUGCAGAUAAAGCGCUC